rnacentral:rRNA from 1 species
UUUGCUGACGAGUGGCGGACGGGUGAGUAAUGUCUGGGAAACUGCCUGAUGGAGGGGGAUAACUACUGGAAACGGUAGCUAAUACCGCAUAACGUCGCAAGACCAAAGAGGGGGACCUUCGGGCCUCUUGCCAUCGGAUGUGCCCAGAUGGGAUUAGCUAGUAGGUGGGGUAACGGCUCACCUAGGCGACGAUCCCUAGCUGGUCUGAGAGGAUGACCAGCCACACUGGAACUGAGACACGGUCCAGACUCCUACGGGAGGCAGCAGUGGGGAAUAUUGCACAAUGGGCGCAAGCCUGAUGCAGCCAUGCCGCGUGUAUGAAGAAGGCCUUCGGGUUGUAAAGUACUUUCAGCGGGGAGGAAGGGAGUAAAGUUAAUACCUUUGCUCAUUGACGUUACCCGCAGAAGAAGCACCGGCUAACUCCGUGCCAGCAGCCGCGGUAAUACGGAGGGUGCAAGCGUUAAUCGGAAUUACUGGGCGUAAAGCGCACGCAGGCGGUUUGUUAAGUCAGAUGUGAAAUCCCCGGGCUCAACCUGGGAACUGCAUCUGAUACUGGCAAGCUUGAGUCUCGUAGAGGGGGGUAGAAUUCCAGGUGUAGCGGUGAAAUGCGUAGAGAUCUGGAGGAAUACCGGUGGCGAAGGCGGCCCCCUGGACGAAGACUGACGCUCAGGUGCGAAAGCGUGGGGGAGCAAACAGGAUUAGAUACCCUGGUAGUCCACGCCGUAAACGAUGUCGACUUGGAGGUUGUGCCCUUGAGGCGUGGCUUCCGGGAGCUAACGCGUUAAGUCGACCGCCUGGGGAGUACGGCCGCAAGGUUAAACUCAAAUGAAUUGACGGGGGCCCGCACA